rnacentral:rRNA from 1 species
UGGUGGCCAUAGAGGAGAGGGUACACCCGACCCCAUUCCGAACUCGGAAGUUAAGCUCUCCAUCGCCGAUGAUACUGCAUAACGUCAUGUGGGAAAGUAGGCCGCUGCC